UGUACGAUCACCAAAGUUAAGCAACAUUGAGCCUGAUCAGUACUUAGAUGGGUGAUUGCUUCGGAAGAUCCGGUGUUGUAAG